GGGCGUUAAGUUGCAGGGUAUAGACCCGAAACCCGGUGAUCUAGCCAUGGGCAGGUUGAAGGUUGGGUAACACUAACUGGAGGACCGAACCGACUAAUGUUGAAAAAUUAGCGGAUGACCUGUGGCUGGGGGUGAAAGGCCAAUCAAACCGGGAGAUAGCUGGUUCUCCCCGAAAGCUAUUUAGGUAGCGCCUCGUGAAUUCAUCUCCGGGGGUAGAGCACUGUUUCGGCUAGGGGGCCAUCCCGGCUUACCAACCCGAUGCAAACUGCGAAUACCGGAGAAUGUUAUCACGGGAGACACACGGCGGGUGCUAACGUCCGUCGUGAAGAGGGAAACAACCCAGACCGCCAGCUAAGGUCCCAAAGUCAUGGUUAAGUGGGAAACGAUGUGGGAAGGCCCAGACAGCCAGGAUGUUGGCUUAGAAGCAGCCAUCAUUUAAAGAAAGCGUAAUAGCUCACUGGUCGAGUCGGCCUGCGCGGAAGAUGUAACGGGGCUAAACCAUGCACCGAAGCUGCGGCAGCGACGCUGAUGCGUUGUUGGGUAGGGGAGCGUUCUGUAAGCCUGCGAAGGUGGCCUGUGAGGGUUGCUGGAGGUAUCAGAAGUGCGAAUGCUGACAUAAGUAACGAUAAAGCGGGUGAAAAGCCCGCUCGCCGGAAGACCAAGGGUUCCUGUCCAACGUUAAUCGGGGCAGGGUGAGUCGACCCCUAAGGCGAGGCCGAAAGGCGUAGUCGAUGGGAAACGGGUUAAUAUUCCCGUACUUGGUGUUACUGCGAAGGGGGGACGGAGAAGGCUAUGUUGGCCGGGCGACGGUUGUCCCGGUUUAAGCGUGUAGGCUGGUUUUCCAGGCAAAUCCGGAAAAUCAAGGCUGAGGCGUAACGACGAGGCACUACGGUGCUGAAGCAACAAAUGCCCUGCUUCCAGGAAAAGCCUCUAAGCAUCAGGUAACAUCAAAUCGUACCCCAAACCGACACAGGUGGUCAGGUAGAGAAUACCAAGGCGCUUGAGAGAACUCGGGUGAAGGAACUAGGCAAAAUGGUGCCGUAACUUCGGGAGAAGGCACGCUGACACGUAGGUGAAGUGAUUUACUCAUGGAGCUGAAGUCAGUCGAAGAUACCAGCUGGCUGCAACUGUUUAUUAAAAACACAGCACUGUGCAAACACGAAAGUGGACGUAUACGGUGUGACGCCUGCCCGGUGCCGGAAGGUUAAUUGAUGGGGUCAGCGCAAGCGAAGCUCCUGAUCGAAGCCCCGGUAAACGGCGGCCGUAACUAUAACGGUCCUAAGGUAGCGAAAUUCCUUGUCGGGUAAGUUCCGACCUGCACGAAUGGCGUAAUGAUGGCCAGGCUGUCUCCACCCGAGACUCAGUGAAAUUGAACUCGCUGUGAAGAUGCAGUGUACCCGCGGCAAGACGGAAAGACCCCGUGAACCUUUACUAUAGCUUGACACUGAACAUUGAGCCUUGAUGUGUAGGAUAGGUGGGAGGCUUUGAAGUGUGGACGCCAGUCUGCAUGGAGCCGACCUUGAAAUACCACCCUUUAAUGUUUGAUGUUCUAACGUGGACCCGUGAUCCGGGUUGCGGACAGUGUCUGGUGGGUAGUUUGACUGGGGCGGUCUCCUCCUAAAGAGUAACGGAGGAGCACGAAGGUUGGCUAAUCCUGGUCGGACAUCAGGAGGUUAGUGCAAUGGCAUAAGCCAGCUUGACUGCGAGCGUGACGGCGCGAGCAGGUGCGAAAGCAGGUCAUAGUGAUCCGGUGGUUCUGAAUGGAAGGGCCAUCGCUCAACGGAUAAAAGGUACUCCGGGGAUAACAGGCUGAUACCGCCCAAGAGUUCAUAUCGACGGCGGUGUUUGGCACCUCGAUGUCGGCUCAUCACAUCCUGGGGCUGAAGUAGGUCCCAAGGGUAUGGCUGUUCGCCAUUUAAAGUGGUACGCGAGCUGGGUUUAGAACGUCGUGAGACAGUUCGGUCCCUAUCUGCCGUGGGCGCUGGAGAACUGAGGGGGGCUGCUCCUAGUACGAGAGGACCGGAGUGGACGCAUCACUGGUGUUCGGGUUGUCAUGCCAAUGGCACUGCCCGGUAGCUAAAUGCGGAAGAGAUAAGUGCUGAAAGCAUCUAAGCACGAAACUUGCCCCGAGAUGAGUUCUCCCUGAGACUUUAGGUCUCCUGAAGGAACGUUGAAGACGACGACGUUGAUAGGCCGGGUGUGUAAGCGCAGCGAUGCGUUGAGCUAACCGGUACUAAUGAACCGUGAGGCUUAACCUUACAACGCCGAAG
rnacentral:rRNA from 1 species